rnacentral:lncRNA from 1 species
ACGCGUUGAUGAUCACGGGAAGGGAACAACAAUGGUAAAGCAGGCCUUUUCCGUUUCCUUUUCAAGCCCUCCCUCCCUUCUUCGUGUCGCACACCUCGCCUUCUCUCUGUCGCACUCCUUACCAGAACUCGAAUUAAUGGUGAGGUGCAUGUCGUUGUGUGACCCAUCUUCAGCUCUGUCUCUUUCACUCUUGAGGUACCUGCUGUUGGAUUCCAUUUGUUGUUGCCGAUCUACAGGUAAAGCUUCAAUUUCCAUAUUGGGGUUCCAAUUUUCUUCAUUUCUGGAAUUUGGGUUUUUAUUUCAGUAAUUUAAUUGUGACUGUCAGUUUGUCCUUGCGACUGUGAGAGAGAGAGAGAGAGAGAGAGAGAGAGAGAGAGAGAGAGCAAGGGAACCAGCAAUGGAGCGAGAGAAAGAGAGAGUGAGCUUGGAGGGAGGGAGAG